CGGGGUGUAGCGCAGAUGGUAGCGUGCUUGACUGGGGGUCAAGAGGUCGCAAGUUCAAGUCUUGUCACUCCGACCA
rnacentral:tRNA from 2 species